rnacentral:rRNA from 1 species
UACGUAGGGUGCAAGCGUUAAUCGGAAUUACUGGGCGUAAAGCGUGCGCAGGCGGUUUUGUAAGUCUGACGUGAAAUCCCCGGGCUCAACCUGGGAAUUGCGUUGGAGACUGCAAGGCUAGAAUCUGGCAGAGGGGGGUAGAAUUCCACGUGUAGCAGUGAAAUGCGUAGAGAUGUGGAGGAACACCGAUGGCGAAGGCAGCCCCCUGGGUCAAGAUUGACGCUCAUGCACGAAAGCGUGGGGAGCAAACAUG